rnacentral:ncRNA from 1 species
UGUUCGAAAAGGCAAACCUGCCGAAAGGCAGGGACGCAAAAUCACAGUCUAAGGGUUGUUUCAUUGCCUACGACCGAUGGAUUACCGAA